rnacentral:rRNA from 1 species
AGAGUUUGAUCCUGGCUCAGAUUGAACGCUGKCGGCAGGCCUAACACAUGCAAGUCGAGCGGUAGAGAGAAGCUUGCUUCUCUUGAGAGCGGCGGACGGGUGAGUAAUGCCUAGGAAUCUGCCUGGUAGUGGGGGAUAACGUCCGGAAACGGACGCUAAUACCGCAUACGUCCUACGGGAGAAAGCAGGGGACCUUCGGGCCUUGCGCUAUCAGAUGAGCCUAGGUCGGAUUAGCUAGUUGGUGGGGUAAUGGCUCACCAAGGCGACGAUCCGUAACUGGUCUGAGAGGAUGAUCAGUCACACUGGAACUGAGACACGGUCCAGACUCCUACGGGAGGCAGCAGUGGGGAAUAUUGGACAAUGGGCGAAAGCCUGAUCCAGCCAUGCCGCGUGUGUGAAGAAGGUCUUCGGAUUGUAAAGCACUUUAAGUUGGGAGGAAGGGUUGUAGAUUAAUACUCUGCAAUUUUGACGUUACCGACAGAAUAAGCACCGGCUAACUCUGUGCCAGCAGCCGCGGUAAUAC